UGAGUAAUGCCUAGGAAAUUGCCCUGAUGUGGGGGAUAACCAUUGGAAACGAUGGCUAAUACCGCAUGAUGCCUACGGGCCAAAGAGGGGGACCUUCGGGCCUCUCGCGUCAGGAUAUGCCUAGGUGGGAUUAGCUAGUUGGUGAGGUAAGGGCUCACCAAGGCGACGAUCCCUAGCUGGUCUGAGAGGAUGAUCAGCCACACUGGAACUGAGACACGGUCCAGACUCCUACGGGAGGCAGCAGUGGGGAAUAUUGCACAAUGGGCGCAAGCCUGAUGCAGCCAUGCCGCGUGUGUGAAGAAGGCCUUCGGGUUGUAAAGCACUUUCAGUCGUGAGGAAGGUAGUGUAGUUAAUAGCUGCAUUAUUUGACGUUAGCGACAGAAGAAGCACCGGCUAACUCCGUGCCAGCAGCCGCGGUAAUACGGAGGGUGCGAGCGUUAAUCGGAAUUACUGGGCGUAAAGCGCAUGCAGGUGGUUUGUUAAGUCAGAUGUGAAAGCCCGGGGCUCAACCUCGGAAUUGCAUUUGAAACUGGCAGACUAGAGUACUGUAGAGGGGGGUAGAAUUUCAGGUGUAGCGGUGAAAUGCGUAGAGAUCUGAAGGAAUACCGGUGGCGAAGGCGGCCCCCUGGACAGAUACUGACACUCAGAUGCGAAAGCGUGGGGAGCAAACAGGAUUAGAUACCCUGGUAGUCCACGCCGUAAACGAUGUCUACUUGGAGGUUGUGGCCUUGAGCCGUGGCUUUCGGAGCUAACGCGUUAAGUAGACCGCCUGGGGAGUACGGUCGCAAGAUUAAAACUCAAAUGAAUUGACGGGGGCCCGCACAAGCGGUGGAGCAUGUGGUUUAAUUCGAUGCAACGCGAAGAACCUUACCUACUCUUGACAUCCAGAGAACUUUCCAGAGAUGGAUUGGUGCCUUCGGGAACUCUGAGACAGGUGCUGCAUGGCUGUCGUCAGCUCGUGUUGU
rnacentral:rRNA from 1 species